UACGUAGGUGACCAGCGUUGUCCGGAUUUACUGGGCGUAAAGAGCGCGCAGGCGGUCGUUCAAGUCGAGUGUGAAAGCCCCCGGCUCAACUGGGGAGGGUCAUUCGAUACUGAUCGACUUGAAGGCAGGAGAGGGAAGUGGAAUUCCCGGUGUAGUGGUGAAAUGCGUAGAUAUCGGGAGGAACACCAGUGGCGAAGGCGACUUCCUGGCCUGUUCUUGACGCUGAGGCGCGAAAGCUA
rnacentral:rRNA from 1 species